rnacentral:rRNA from 1 species
GAUGAACGGUGGCGGCGUGCCUAAUACAUGCAAGUCGAGCGAAUGGAUUAAGAGCUUGCUCUUAUGAAGUUAGCGGCGGACGGGUGAGUAACACGUGGGUAACCUGCCCAUAAGACUGGGAUAACUCCGGGAAACCGGGGCUAAUACCGGAUAACAUUUUGAACCGCAUGGUUCGAAAUUGAAAGGAGGCUUCGGCUGUCACUUAUGGAUGGACCCGCGUCGCAUUAGCUAGUUGGUGAGGUAACGGCUCACCAAGGCAACGAUGCGUAGCCGACCUGAGAGGGUGAUCGGCCACACUGGGACUGAGACACGGCCCAGACUCCUACGGGAGGCAGCAGUAGGGAAUCUUCCGCAAUGGACGAAAGUCUGACGGAGCAACGCCGCGUGAGUGAUGAAGGCUUUCGGGUCGUAAAACUCUGUUGUUAGGGAAGAACAAGUGCUAGUUGAAUAAGCUGGCACCUUGACGGUACCUAACCAGAAAGCCACGGCUAACUACGUGCCAGCCGCCGCCGUAA